rnacentral:rRNA from 1 species
CCUACGGGUGGCAGCAGUAGGGAAUAUUGCUCAAUGGGGGAAACCCUGAAGCAGCAACGCCGCGUGGAGGAUGAAGGUUUUCGGAUUGUAAACUCCUUUUGUUAGAGAAGAUAAUGACGGUAUCUAACGAAUAAGCACCGGCUAACUCCGUGCCAGCAGCCGCGGUAAUACGGAGGGUGCAAGCGUUACUCGGAAUCACUGGGCGUAAAGAGCGCGUAGGCGGGAUAGCAAGUCAGAUGUGAAAUCCUAUGGGUUAACCAUAGAACUGCAUUUGAAACUGUUAUUCUAGAGUAUGGGAGAGGUAAGGGGAAAUCCUGGGGCAGGGGUGAAAACCGUAGAGAACAAGAGGAAAA